GGAUGGGUUCCCGAGAGGUCAAAGGGGGCAGACUGUAAAUCUGUUAGCAACGCUUUCGAAGGUUCGAAUCCUUCCCCAUCCA
rnacentral:tRNA from 1 species